AUUGAACGCUGGCGGCAUGCCUUACACAUGCAAGUCGAACGGCAGCACGGGAGCAAUCCUGGUGGCGAGUGGCGAACGGGUGAGUAAUAUAUCGGAACGUGCCCAGUCGUGGGGAUAACGUAGCGAAAGCUACGCUAAUACCGCAUACGAUCUAAGGAUGAAAGCGGGGGAUCGCAAGACCUCGCGCGAUUGGAGCGGCCGAUAUCAGAUUAGCUAGUUGGUGAGGUAAAGGCUCACCAAGGCGACGAUCUGUAGCUGGUCUGAGAGGACGACCAGCCACACUGGGACUGAGACACGGCCCAGACUCCUACGGGAGCAGCAGUGGGGAAUUUUGGACAAUGGGCGCAAGCCUGAUCCAGCAAUGCCGCGUGCAGGAUGAAGGCCUGGUUGUAACUAGUCGUUUCGUUACGGUAACGGUAAACGGUAGGA
rnacentral:rRNA from 1 species